rfam:Acidaminococcus fermentans DSM 20731, complete genome.
GACUCCGUAGCUCAGCUGGAUAGAGCGUUUGGCUACGAACCAAAAGGUCGAGUGUUCGAAUCACUCCGGGGCCA